GCUUAGAUGGAAAGCCGGGACCCCGGGGUGUUGAUGGCCCAGCUGGUCCGCAUGGCCCUGCAGGUCCUAAAGGAGAGAGAGGUGAAAAGGGAACUGUAGGUGACCCCGGACCCAGAGGACCAUAUGGCUUGCCUGGCAAAGAUGGCGAGCCUGGCCUUGAUGGUUUCCCUGGUCCUCGAGGAGAAAAGGGUGAUAUAGGAGAAAAGGGAGAAAAGG